ACAGUACAAUCUGAACAGGCCUGAUAUGGAAUGAAACCAUAAAGGAGCCGGGCCGCAACAUGCGGCAGCAGGUAGGAAAGCACCUGUGGGACAGUC
rfam:Clostridium sp. FS41 CLFS41_contig000071, whole genome shotgun sequence.